GACGAACGCUGGCGGCGUGCUUAACACAUGCAAGUCGAACGGAAAGGCCCUGCUUUUGUGGGGUGCUCGAGUGGCGAACGGGUGAGUAACACGUGAGUAACCUGCCCUUGACUUUGGGAUAACUUCAGGAAACUGGGGCUAAUACCGGAUAGGAGCUCCUGCUGCAUGGUGGGGGUUGGAAAGUUUCGGCGGUUGGGGAUGGACUCGCGGCUUAUCAGCUUGUUGGUGGGGUAGUGGCUUACCAAGGCUUUGACGGGUAGCCGGCCUGAGAGGGUGACCGGCCACAUUGGGACUGAGAUACGGCCCAGACUCCUACGGGAGGCAGCAGUGGGGAAUAUUGCACAAUGGGCGGAAGCCUGAUGCAGCAACGCCGCGUGCGGGAUGACGGCCUUCGGGUUGUAAACCGCUUUCGCCUGUGACGAAGCGUGAGUGACGGUAAUGGGUAAAGAAGCACCGGCUAACUACGUGCCAGCAGCCGCGGUGAUACGUAGGGUGCGAGCGUUGUCCGGAUUUAUUGGGCGUAAGGGCUCGUAGGUGGUUGAUCGCGUCGGAAGUGUAAUCUUGGGGCUUAACCCUGAGCGUGCUUUCGAUACGGGUUGACUUGAGGAAGGUAGGGGAGAAUGGAAUUCCUGGUGGAGCGGUGGAAUGCGCAGAUAUCAGGAGGAACACCAGUGGCGAAGGCGGUUCUCUGGGCCUUUCCUGACGCUGAGGAGCGAAAGCGUGGGGAGCGAACAGGCUUAGAUACCCUGGUAGUCCACGCUGUAAACGGUGGGUACUAGGUGUGGGGUCCAUUCCACGGGUUCCGUGUCGUAGCUAACGCUUUAAGUACCCCGCCUGGGGAGUACGGCCGCAAGGCUAAAACUCAAAGGAAUUGACGGGGCCCCGCACAAGCGGCGGAGCAUGCGGAUUAAUUCGAUGCAACGCGUAGAACCUUACCUGGGUUUGACAUGGAUCGGGAGUGCUCAGAGAUGGGUGUGCCUCUUUUGGGGUCGGUUCACAGGUGGUGCAUGGCUGUCGUCAGCUCGUGUCGUGAGAUGUUGGGUUAAGUCCCGCAACGAGCGCAACCCUUGUUCACUGUUGCCAGCACGUUAUGGUGGGGACUCAGUGGAGACCGCCGGGGUCAACUCGGAGGAAGGUGGGGAUGACGUCAAGUCAUCAUGCCCCUUAUGUCCAGGGCUUCCCGCAUGCUACAAUGGCUGGUACAGAGAGUGGCGAGCCUGUGAGGGUGAGCGAAUCUCGGAAAGUCGGUCUCAGUUCGGAUUGGGGUCUGCAACUCGACCUCAUGAAGUCGGAGUCGCUAGUAAUCGCAGAUCAGCAACGCUGCGGUGAAUACGUUCCCGGGGCU
rnacentral:rRNA from 1 species